UGGGGAAUAUUGCACAAUGGGCGCAAGCCUGAUGCAGCCAUGCCGCGUGUAUGAAGAAGGCCUUCGGGUUGUAAAGUACUUUCAGUCGGGAGGAAGGUGGUAAGGUUAAUAACCUUAUCAAUUGACGUUACCGACAGAAGAAGCACCGGCUAACUCCGUGCCAGCAGCCGCGGUAAUACGGAGGGUGCAAGCGUUAAUCGGAAUCACUGGGCGUAAAGCGCACGCAGGCGGUUGAUUGAGUCAGAUGUGAAAUCCCCGGGCUUAACCCGGGAAUUGCAUCUGAUACUGGUCAGCUAGAGUCUUGUAGAGGGGGGUAGAAUUCCAUGUGUAGCGGUGAAAUGCGUAGAGAUGUGGAGGAAUACCGGUGGCGAAGGCGGCCCCCUGGACAAAGACUGACGCUCAGGUGCGAAAGCGUGGGGAGCAAACAGG
rnacentral:rRNA from 1 species